CCUCGCCUCUAAUUGUCUAUGGUGGAUGAAAGUAUGGGGUCAAUGGGGGUAAUCGAUAACUGGUCUAUCCGACCUGAUGUUGACCAGGUUCAAAACCAUUAGAUCAAAUUAAAGUGCAUUUAAAAAUGAACACUAAAGUAACAGAAAAGAGCAGUCCCAGACUUAUGUAAACAAUUUAUUCUCAACUAUGUACAGAUCCAAGCAGUGAUUACCGUUAACAUCCAUCACAUCAUACAAAUGUCAUUACAAAAUUACUACAGUACAAUAUAGAUUCUUUGCAUGAUCCAAAAUAUUUGGUGGCCCCGAAAAUUAUUUUACCUUUAAAAAAAAAGGUCCAAUGCAGCUGUUUUUAUCUCACUAUCAAAUCAUUUCUGGGAAACAAUUAAGUACAUUUUAGUCAUUUAGUGGACGCGCUUAUCCGGAGCGACUUACAGGAGCAAUUAGGGUUAAAUGCCAUGCUCAAGGGCACAGACAUCUUUCACCUAGUCGGCUCGGAAUUCAAAACAGUGACCUUUCAGUUACUGGCCCAACGCUUUCAAUUAAAAUGGUCCAAAAAAAACAAAAAUAGCUUCUUAGCAAAGAUCGAUUUCUCAAGCAAAAAUGUUGCUUGGACUGUUUGGGAGUGGGGAGGGGUUAAACUGAAAAUUAGCUGUUAUUGGCAGGAAGAUUUUAUAACCCUCUUUCUUAUUGGUCUAUUAGCUAAUUUACCUCAUGGUGAUGUCACCAUGGAAGGUCAAAACUCCAUCCCACCAAAACAGGCUGAAAUUUCAGGUGGCCUUUUCAAAAACCUCUCGCACUAAAAGGGCAUUAUAAUUUUCACAGUAUUAUUCCAGUCUCAUAGUGUAUAUAAAACAGUUAAAUAAAGUUUGACUGCACUGGGCCUUUAAAAUUUCAUCAGCAUUUACAGAAACCAGUCAAAAGUUUGGACACCUACUCAUUCAAGGGUUUGUCUUCAUUUUUACAUUUUACAUUGUAGAAUAAUAGUGAAGACUUAAACUGUGAAAUAACACAUAUGGAAUCAUGUAGUAACAGAAAAAAAAGUGUUAAAUAAAUAUUUUAAAUUCGAGAUUCUUUCAAAGUAGCCACCCUUUGACUUGAUGACAGAUUUGCACAAUCUUGGCAUUCUCUCAAUCAGCUUCAUGAGGUAGUCACCUGGAAUGCAUUUCAAUUAACAGGUGUGCCUUGUUAAGUUGAUUUGUGGAAUUUGUUUACUUCUUAAUGCGUUUGAGCCAAAUCAGUUGUGUUGUGACAAGGUAGGGGUGGUGUACAGAAGAUAGCCCUAUUUGGUAAGAGACCAAGUCCAUCUUAUGACAAGAACAUCUCAAAUAAGCAAAAAGAAAUGGUCCAUCAUUACUUUAAGACAUGGUCAGUCAAUACAGAAAAUGUAAAGAACUUUGAGUCUUUAAGUGCAGUCGCAAAAACAAUCAAGCGCAUUGAUAAAACUGGCUCCAUUGAGGACCACCAUAGAAAAGGAAGACCCAGAGUUACCGCUGCUGCAGAGGAUAAGUUCAUUAGGGUUAACAGCCUCAAAUCUGCAAUUAACUGCACCACAGAUUGCAGCCCAAAUAAAUGCUUCAGAGUUCAAGUAAUAGACAACACAAACUGUUCAGAGGAGACUGCAUGAAUCAGGCCUUCAUGGUCAAAUUGCUGCAAAGAAACCACUACUAAAGGACACCAAUAAGGAGGAACAGACUUGAUUGGGACAAGAAACACGAGUGAUGGACAUUAGACCAGUGGAAAUAUGUCCUUUUAAUGAGUCCAAAUAUAAGAUUUUUGGUUCCAACCGCCGCGUGAGACGCGGAGUAGGUGAACGGAUGAUCUCUGCAUGUGUGGUUCCCAUCGUGAAGCAUGGAGGUGGUGGAGUUAUGGUGCUUUGCUGGUGACUCUGUCUGUGAUUUAUUUAGAAUUCAAGGCACACUAAACCAGCAUGGCUACCACAGCAUUCUGCAACUAUACGCCAUCCCAUCUGGUUUGUGCUUAGUGGGCCUAUCACUUGUUUUCAACGGGACAAUGACCCAACACACCUCCAGACUGUGUUAAGGGCUAUUUGACCAAGGAGAGUGAUGGAGUGCUGCAUCAGAUGACGUGGCCUCCACAAUCAUCCUACCUCAACCCAAUUGAGAUGGUUUGGGAUGCGUUGGACGGCAGAGUGAAGGAAAAGCAGCCAACAAGUGCUCAGCAUAUGUGGUAACUCCUUCAAGACUGUUGGAAAAACAUUCCAGGUGAUGACCUCAUGAAGCUGGUUGAGAGAAUGCCAAGAGUGUGUCAAACUGUCAUCAAGGCAAAGGGUGGCUACUUUAAAGAAUUUGAAAUGUUUUGAUUUGUUUAACACUUUUUUGGUUACUACAUGACCACAUGCCAUUUCAUAUUUUUAAAGUCUUCACUAUUAUUCUACAAUGAAUGAAAAUAGUCCAAAUAAAUAAAAAUCCUUUAACGAGUAGGUGUUUCCAAACUUUUGACUGGUACUGUAUCUAAAUAAAAUCACUAGUUUCUUACAUUAUUCAGCAAAAAGGGUGAAGGCAGACUUGGGAGAAAUUCUAGUCAAGUUUUUUUUUCUCAUGGCUAAAUUAAGGUAUUAGGCUAUUGUUAGAGGUGUUCUUUAAAUGAGACAUUCUACGGUUGGUUGGUGCUGUAAAAAGAGAAUAAGAUUUUUCAAUAAAGCUAUUUUUGCCCCUCACUUCUUCAAAAUGAAAGACCUCAAUUUGCAAACAAAGCUGUAAGAAGCCAUGAGCCUAUUUGUUUUUCGCUUAAUGUCUAAGGUCUUUCUUCCAUUAUUGGAAAACAUUAUGAAUCACCAUCAAAAUCAUCCAGUUGUUAUCAAGGCAUCAUGUACAUAUUACAUUUUAACACCACCUAAAAAUGUCUUACAAUCACUUUGCCACAGUUGCAUUAAUUAUGUGCAAGUUCUCUUCCUAAUUUCAUAUUCCUCAAAGUUACAAGUCAAUUUGAAUGUCUGUGUAUAUCUAGAUACAAUUACUCUUUGACACUGACUCUGGGUGUGUGUAAGUCUCAGUGUCUUAAUGGUGAGCUAGCACACAUAUCAAAACACAGUGAACUGAACACCCAUGGACAGGUAUAUGCUCUGUAUUCAAGGGUUAAAGCAGGAGAGGCUUACUAAUCUCUUAUCGGUAAAGGGAGAUGGAAAAAAGGCAUACAUUUGGAAAAUAACAACAAGAAAAAUAACAGUAAACAUAACCUCCCGAGGUUACUACAAACAAAUAUUCAAGUAAAGAAACUACAUCAUAGCAGCGGCAAUAUCAGUAAAACAGCACACCGGUUCUGCGGAGGACACAGAUAAAGCUAAGUCCUGGACUAAACAAAUACUUCAGUGGAUAUUCUCCAUUCACCAUGCUUUUUAGUCCACCACUAGGUUUAACUUGUGUCUCGGAAACCGGCCUUCUUUGUUUGUAUUUUUUAAAUUCAGUGUGACAAGUAGUGGUAGGACGAAACUAAUCAAGCCAUGCCUCAUCCAAUUUUUUACAUGACAAAAACACCUGGAAUGUGACAAAAACUCAAUUAAUUUCAACUUCAGGACACAACAGACAUGGCACAAAAACAACUACAGAAACAAGUGCCUCCAUAUAUCCCAUGAUGUCUUAUUAACCUGGUGAAGUGAAAAGGAACAAUCCAGUUUGGAUCCAGGCUAACUUGACAUACCCCAUCAUUUUUUUUUUUUUUUACUAGUGUUAAAAUGUCCCAUUAACUACAUGUUACCAAUGAGUAAAACCUCCCAUCAAUACACAGUUACAAAAAAUAACAAUAAUACAAAAUGUAUAAUAAUAAUAACAACAACCUUAGUUUGUUGGCUUUGGAAAGGGUUUGUAGCUAUAUCUGCAGUACUUCAUAUCCAGGCUUAGUUUACACCAAUUAUCUUUUAGAGCAUUUCUGAUAUUGAGAAUCGUAUAUUUAAAAACAGGUCAAAUACACCCACAAGUUUAAAAAUAUAUAUAUAUUUAGAAGUGACUAUACCAUAUCGAAUACCCAGUGAAGUAAUACAUGAGGUGUUUAGUGUUAUAAGUCUCCUGUAAAUUAAUACUUUAUGAGUAUGUAAAUGUGUGGGUCUACUAAAGUAUGUGUAUGUGUAGUCUGUUUGAACAAGUGCUUCCAAUGUUCUUGUGAGGGGGGGACAAAAUACUACAAAAUGAUUACACUCACCUACAGAGUGAAUCUGAUUAGUUGGUUGGGCAUAAAGAUGCUUUCUCCCCUACUCAAUCUCUGACAACCAUGGGAUACAUUCAGGCAAUCAACAACUUCAAGACUUCUGUCAAAAACAAUAACACUCCAAAACAAAAAGGAACAAAAAGUAGGUCAAGCGUCACAGUAUUUAACAAGAUAAUACAUUUGGAUGUGGGCUACGGGUAAAAGGUUAAGGGGGGAAUGCUCCUGCAGGUAUGUAUGAGAUACAAGGUCCAAUAUUGUACGUCAACUAAAUGGUUUGGGAAGUAAAGGGCCACCAACACGCAAGGGAUCAAGCAUUGGAGUACGCUGCAUUCAAAACGGUCAUUACAAUCAUCCUCAAAGGUCAUGCUUUUAAAACAAAAAGCAAAGCCACAAUAACAGAAAAGAAAAAAACAGUACAAGAAAAAAAAAAAAUCAUUUAAAACAACGAUUUGCUUGCUGUUGAGUUUUGGAUCGACAACCAAACAAGGUCAGAGACAUACACGCUAUCAAGACCGUGCCAUAGUCCCAGUAGUAAUACUCAAGGAACAAAGGAGGAACACGUUCAGCCAAAGCCCUGUAUGCCCUUUCUCGACCCCGCUCCCUACCUCCCUCCUCUGACAAGUUUAGAAAUACGUCUCCACGAUUCAAAGUUUUGUUUUCGGGAAAGGUGAGAAAGAUGGAAAUUGAGAUUUUAAACAAUAUGAGUCAGGUAAGCAUCUAAGAGUCUGAUAUUAUGGCCGCUAGGUAAAACGUCCAUGCAUGCAGAGAACACGUCACUUCCACAGCACAGAACAGAGGCAGCCUGAAAAAGUUGACCUUAAAGUUAUGACAUGUAUGAAGCAGUGUUCACGGUCUCUUUUUAGAAUCACAACCAAAACCCUGCUAGAUGGAUUCAACUAGAUGAGAAUAUAAAAAAGGUAGUUCCCAGACUUGUAUGUUUUCUAAACCUGGUUCAUGCUAGACACUGAUGGGAAAGCCUCUGGUAAACAAAGGGGUGGUGGAGGGAUAAAAACCUGAAAAACAAGAAACUACAUGGUUGUUUAAGAAACCUCAUCACAGGGCUACACAAGAAAUACCACAACUAUCCGAUGACGCCACACACUGACGUCACACUAACGUUGUACACCCACUGUCCUCACUUCCAACUUUGACGCAAGCAUGCUACUUAGUUAUUUCCUGUUUUUAAGACAAGUCACUUUUCAACCACAACAAAUAAAAAUCAUAUGCACUUCUGUCUGUGAUGUGCGUUUGACUGACUGGUUUAGGCAACAACUUCUGACCUGCCUAUAAAGAUUUAAACUCUGAUAUUACUCUAAAUAUGCACUGACAAGAUGUUUUAUUAACUCAAUGUAAUUACUUUGAUGACUACAAGAAAAUACAUGCUAUUCUUAUUCUAAGAUAUGCAGAGGCAGUUUCCCAAAGAAAAAAGAAAAACUUGCUGGUUCGAUUUUUGAAAUUAAUGAUAGUAUCAGCAUUUACUUUACUCGAAUACCCUCCGCUGCUGUUGUUUGGCUAGCAGCCGUCCUGGCUGUUGAGGAUACUAUGCUGUCUUUGAGACCAUUAACAACAUUUCCAUGCAACUUCCUGAUUUCUUUUAACCACCCCUACAUACAUUUUAUGGUUGGUAUCCUCCAGUCUAGUUCUACACCAAGACCCUCCCUCCCCCUACCUCUGAGUGACACUUUCCGGCCGAUAUGUAUCGAUUAAAAAGCUCUUCUUCACUGACCGUUUAUCCUCAAAUCAGCACUACCCCCUCUGUAAAUAUAAAACCAUGAUUUUACCACAACGAAACAAAAGUUUCCCCCGUAUUUUUUGUUUUGUUUAACGUCGCUGGAGAGCAUGGAUGAAAGAAAAUGUUUAAAAAAGAGACAAAACAAAAAGCUAAGCUGACAUCUUUUCAUUACUGAUUGUGAUGUGGAAAUGAUUAAAUACAUUUUUCAUCCCUUGAUAAAUUUGGCCCGCCGGUCCCCAUGUUCCCCUCGCCUGUUGCGUGGGGGGGCGGUGAGUGCCUCGGCUGGCUAACACCUCCCUCCCACCCCGCCCAUCCAGAAGGUUGAGGAGGGGUCACGGUCUGCACCCCCUUCCCUCCCCAGCUGGCAGACCCUACCCCCAGUAAAGGGUAACAUGUUCUCUGGGUAUAAGAGGUUCCAAUCCGUCGUCUCCCAUAGUGAAUUACCUGGUAGGAGAGAGACAGAGGGAGACCAAUAUUAAUUGAAAAAUAUGCUUUAAUCCCAUCCCCCUUUUCCUGCUAUAACAGACUCCACUCUUCUGGGAAGGCUUUCCACUAGAUGUUGGAACAUUGCUGCAGGGACUUGCAUUCAGCCACAAGAGCAUUAGAGAGGUCAGGCAUUGAUGUUGGGCUAUUAGGCCUGGCUUGCAGUCAUCGUUCCAAUUCAUCCCAAAAGUGUUUGAAGGGGUUGAGGUCAGGACUCUGGUGUGGAAGAACUUGACUGGUCUGCACAAUCUCUACAAACCAUUUCUGUAUGGACCUCGCUUUGUGCACGAGGACAUUGUCAAAUCAGAAACAGGAAAGGACCUUCCCCAAACUGUUGCCACAAAUUUGGAAGCACAGAAUCAUCUAGAAUGUCAUUGUAUGCCGUAGCGUUCAGAUUUCCCUUCACUGGAUCUACGGGGCCUAGAACGAACCAUGAGAAACAGCCCCAGGUCAUUAUUAUGUUGCUUCAAUAUAUUCACAUAAUUUCCCUGCCUCAUGAUGCCAUCUAUUUUGUGAAGUGCACCAGUCCCUCCUGCAGCAAAGUACCCCCACAACAUGGUGCUGCCACCCCUGUGCUUCACGGUUGGGAUGGUGUUCUUCGGCUUGCAAGCGUGCCAAUUUUUUCCUCCAAACAUAACGAUGGUCAUUACGGCCAAACAGUUCUAUUUUUGUUUCAUCAGACCAGAGGACAUUUCUCCAAAAAGUACGAUCUUUGUCCCCAUGGGCAGUUGCAAACUGUAGUCUGGCUUUUUUAUGGUGGUUUUGGAGCAGUGGCUUCUUCCUUGCUGAGCGGCCUUUCAGGUUAUGUCGAUAUAGGCCUCAUUUUACUCUGGAUAUUGAUACUUGUAUACCCGUUUCCUCCAGAAUUUCCACAAGGUCUUUUCAUGUUGUUCUGGGAUUGAUUUG
ensembl:lncRNA